rnacentral:ncRNA from 2 species
AUAAAGUUUAAUUCUAGUUUAAAGAUUUAUUUAAUUUUUUUUUUACAUGUAAAUUUUUGUAGGAUGUUAGUUAAAUUUUAAAAAUUUAAUUAAAAUAAUUUAUUCGCAGUAUUUAAUUUUAAUAAUUUAAGAAAUUAAGAAUUAGAAAUAAAUUUUAAUAUUAACAAAUUUUGUGCCAGCAGUUGCGGUUAUACAAAAGAUAUAAAUGAAUUUUAUUAGUAAAUAAUUAUAUGAAUUAUUAAUAAAUUAAAAUAGUAUUUAUUAGGUGAAAUUUUAAGUAUUAAAUUAAUUUAUAAAAAAGUUUUUAUUAUUAUGAAAUUUAUAUUUAAACUAGGAUUAGAUACCCUAUUAUUUUAAAUGUAAAAAGUUUUACUUAAGUAGUAUUAGUUAUGUUCUUGAAAUUUAAAGAUUUUGGCGGUAUUUUAGUCUAUUUAGAGGAACCUGUUCUGUAAUUGAUAAUCCACGAUUAACUUUACUUAUUUUAUAAAUUUGUAUACCGUCGUUAUUAGAAAAUUUUAGCAGAAAAUAAAUUUUUAAUAUUUUAAAUUAAAAAAUAUAUCAGAUCAAGGUGCAGUAUAUAUCUAAGAAGAAAUGGGUUACAAUAAAUUUAUUUAUACGGAUUAAAGUAAGAAUAAACUUUAUGAAGGUGGAUUUAAUAGUAAUAAAAUUUAAUUAAAUUUUAUGAUUUUAGCUCUAAAAUAUGUACAUAUCGCCCGUCGCUCUUAUUAUAAGGUAAGAUAAGUCGUAACAUAGUAGAUGUACUGGAAAGUGUAUCUAGAAUGAA